GGGGCAGUAGUUAAAUUGAUAACGUUGUUUUGUCAGGACAAUAUUGUAAGUAUAGAUUCUUGCCUGCUCUA
rnacentral:tRNA from 1 species